GUAUUGGAGGGGCAGAGGUUGGAAUUUGCGACUGCUGAGUGGUGCUUACUUUACCUAAUUAAAUUAAUCAUAUUAACAAAGCAAUAUUGAGUUUUAUUAUGGAUCCUAGCCCUAUAAUCAACCAGUGAUCUGUUAUGCACCUUUAACAGAAUCAUCCCAUAAGAAAACCACAUGAAAACAGUAUCAAUAGGACUGUAAAAAGAUCCUCUGGUGCAGGAGAAAACAACUUUAGAUCAUAUCAUAGUCUGAAGGGCCACGCAUUCACAUAGGUAAAGAAGUUUCUCUCCCUAAUAUCCCUGAUAUUGUAGAUAUCAGGGAGAUGAAACUCCUUUACAUCUAAUUGGAUUAUCAGCACUCCCAAUUAGAUGUCUCCUAAGAUGACUGCCUUGUAACAAUUGUUACUUUGUUUUAUGCAAUGCAAGUAACUCUAGUUCUCUGUAAUCAGAGAUGUAGACAAACAAAGGCUCUUAUUUUAAGUCCAGAAAUAACCUCCAAUGGAAGAGGUGCUGAAUUGCCAAACAGUCUGAUAAUCUGCCCAAAUGCAUCAGAUGCUCAGUACAGGCUCAGGUUUAUUAAAGGGACAAGAAAUCCCUUUGUUGAUCGACCUCUGUACAACUUCAUAACCCUCAACCCUCUUGUGCCCUGAUAUCCAAACAAGUUGAAUUCUAUUCUUGGUAGUUAAUUCCACAAUGAGAAAGGACAUUCCUACACAAGCUUUGAAGUAGAGUGGGAGCUAUAAAGUGUUUUUAAAGCAGUUUGAUUAUUUGAUAGAGGAUAUGUUAAUAAAUAUAUUUAUAUCUUAUCAAGAUUUAUUUAGAUACAUGCAGAAAUAGCAUAAAUUUCUGUCUGAAAGAAGUAAACAAACU
rnacentral:lncRNA from 1 species